GCAUGCGUGUGGCAAGGGUAGCCUAAACACAAUUUCUGAAAUUUUCUUCUUUGAUUACAUCUAUUCUCCAUCUGUGUAUAUUCCCUUCACUGCUUAUAAGGUUUUUUUCUUUCUUCUAAAAGAAGCAUUUCCAGAUGAAGAAUGCACAGAUGAAGAUGCAGGACAAGAGAAGCUUGGAGGAAGGAAUGCUCCCCUGUGCUCUCAUGGCUGAUCAAGCUACAUCAAAACUUGAAAGGAUAAACAGAAAGGUGGACUAAGGCGAUACUGCAAACCCUUACCAAAUGCUGAGGACAGUGGGGACAAAGGGACAAAGGCUGAGUUCCAUCUGGCACCAUAUUAAAGGAGAAACAUGACCCAUAGCUCCUGUUUUCCAAUGAUUAUAAGACAAACAAGAGCUGAUCCCUCAGGACUGGGCAGGACUCAUCCAUCAUGUACUUGGCAGAUUCCAUUUUCAAAUAGACUCCUCUAACCUGGUGUCUCCUAGAGUGCAAUAUUUGUAUGUGUAUAUGAAUUAAUGCUGGCACAUGAGUUGUUUUUGGAGUAUUAGCUUGUGACUAUUACUUUUUUCUAAAUUAUUGAACUUCCUUCCUUCCUUCCUUCCUUCCUUCCUUCCUUCCUUCCUUCCUUCCUUCCUUCCUUCCUUCCUUCCUUCCUUCCUUCCUUCCUUCCUUCCUUCCUUCCUUCCUUCCUUCCUUCCUUCCUUCCUUCCUUCCUUCCUGCCUUCCUUCCUUCCUUCGUUCCUUCCUUCCUUCCUUCCUUCUGUCUGCCUGUCUAUUUUUUAACCUGGACAUAUUUAACAACCAAAUCCACUUUUGAAACUGCACUUAGAAAUGUUAUCUUUUUUUGCUGUUUGGAAAAAAAACGUCCUUCCAUCCUGAAUAGAUGUAAAGCUGUGUUUUCUUUUAUGUUCUCCCUGUCUUCAUUGCUCUUUAAACAAACUGUGGCCAAAUGAUUGUGCUAGUGCAGUGUUUCAUAACAAAGCAGAGCCUUUCACAUGGUGUUGGCUAUUUCUAGGGCAGUGCAUGUGCAAAAUCAGUCCUCUUGCUUUAUUUCUGUUGGAAACAGUUUAAGCUCCUAUUACUAAGGGACUUUGUGCCUCCAGUACCAGGAAUGUGGGUAGUCAUAAAAAAAUAGCCUGGAUUUGGGCUGAUAAGGCUCAGGACAGAUACUAAAGAGUUUAUUAAUUCUCAGCCUGAUCCUUUCCUCUUUUCACCCAUUUUUUAAAGUUCUCCAGUUUCUAUCUAAGAAAAAAGUAACUGGAGGGUCUGAUACAGAAAGACAAGUGAUCCAAACAACAAAUGACACGUUGCAUUUAAACUGUCCUUGUUAGGGCAAAGUUCUGCAUUAUUUCCAUGAGGAUCAUAAAAAGAAACAGAAAGUUUAUUUAAUUUCAUGUUAUGUUUUGAUGACAUAUUGAACUAAGCCAAAUUUAUAGCUUGAUCACUUCAGCCAGUGACUUUGCAGUGCAAAGAACCAAUUUUCUUCAUGAACGUUGUACACAGCAAAGCCCAUAAAAAACUUGAAACUUUACUGGGAAGCCAGAAAGAGAAAGGGAGACAUGGCAAGAAGCUGAGUUUGUAGAGUUCAAGUCUAAAUGCCUUCAAAUACAGAGAGGCUGUAAUACUGUUUUGUUUCUGUACCCUGAUCAGGAGCCUCAGUCUGACUAUAAGCCACCUGUAGGAUAUGAACUCCAGGGUGCAGACCCAGUAUUAUAACUGGUUUGUUUAUGGUGAAUGCAUUUCCUGAAACAAAGACAUGGGCUCGAGCCUCUGUUUUUCUUUUUCUUUUCUUCUUUGUUCUUUUUUGUCUUUUUUUCUAUUUCUUCUCUUUUCUUUGUUUUCUCUUUCUCUUUCU